GAAUAGUCUAAACAAUAUUAAAAGAGUAAAACAAGAGUUUCGAAACAAAUCCGAAUGAGCAUCCAAAGUUACGCCUACUUCGAAGAAUUACAAAGAUGAAAUUAUGAACUAGAUCUUCUUCGUAGCCGUCACGUGCUCCUUGGAAUGAUUCUCGGUUAUUAGGCUUCUCCCUUGAGCUUUUGUUUAAGUCCCACAGCGAUCGGGCCUUCAAACGGAUCAAGAAUAGGCAAUUUGGGCUUUUUCUUCCAACAGAAUGGGGUGGAGACCCCGUCAGUGGGGUGGAGACCCCGUCAGUGGGGUGGAGACCCCGUCAGUGGGGUGGAGACCCCGUCA
rnacentral:lncRNA from 1 species